UUCUGUACAAAACAGUCUGCCGAUUUUUGCGGGGGAGGGGAACGUCAAAUAAGAACAUAUCUCUUCUUCCUCGCGUUGUCCCGGCAUUUUGCCACGGCUCAUGGGAGCCUGGGGUCCGCUUGACAACUAAUCCCAAGAAUUGACGUAGGCACUAGAUUU